rnacentral:tRNA from 1 species
GCCCGGGUAGCUCAGCCUGGUAGAGCGCCGGGCUGUGGACGGCCCCUAAUAGGGGCCGGCACAGACCCGGAGGUCCCGGGUUCAAAUCCCGGCCCGGGCC